rnacentral:rRNA from 1 species
GUUGACCUCGGAUCAGGUAGGACUACCCGCUGAACUUAAGCAUAUCAAUAAGCGGAGGAAAGGAAACCAACAGGGAUUGCCCCAGUAACGGCGAGUGAAGCGGCAACAGCUCAAAUUUGAAAUCUGGCCCCAGGCCCGAGUUGUAAUUUGCAGAGGAUGCUUUUGGCGCGGUGCCUUCCGAGUUCCCUGGAACGGGACGCCAUAGAGGGUGAGAGCCCCGUACGGUUGGACACCAAGCCUUUGUAAAGCUCCUUCGACGAGUCGAGUAGUUUGGGAAUGCUGCUCUAAAUGGGAGGUACAUUUCUUCUAAAGCUAAAUAUUGGCCAGAGACCGAUAGCGCACAAGUAGAGUGAUCGAAAGAUGAAAAGCACUUUGAAAAGAGGGUUAAACAGCACGUGAAAUUGUUAAAAGGGAAGCGCUUGUGACCAGACUUGCGUCCGGUGAAUCACCCAGCUCUCGCGGCUGGGGCACUUCGCCGGCACAGGCCAGCAUCAGCUUGCCGUCGGGGACAAAAGCUUCAGGAACGUGGCUCCUCUCGGGGAGUGUUAUAGCCUGUUGCAUAAUACCCUUCGGCGGGCUGAGGUACGCGCUCCGCAAGGAUGCUGGCGUAAUGGUCAUCAGCGAC